rnacentral:tRNA from 1 species
AUUAACUGUAGCUCAAGGGUAGAGUGGAUAACUUUUAAUUAUCUUGUUAUAGGUUCGAGCCCUAUCAGUUAAA